GGCGGACGGGUGAGUAAUACUUAGGAAUCUGCCCAUUAGUGGGGGACAACAUUCGGAAACGGAUGCUAAUACCGCAUACGCCCUACGGGGGAAAGCGGAGGACCUUUCGGGGCUUCGCGCUAAUGGAUGAGCCUAAGUCGGAUUAGCAUGUUGGUGAGGUAAAAGCUCACCGAGGCGACGAUCCGUAGCUGGUCUGAGGGGACGAUCAGCCACACUGGGACUGAGACACGGCCCAG
rnacentral:rRNA from 1 species